rnacentral:rRNA from 1 species
ACGAACGCUGGCGGCGUGCUUAACACAUGCAAGUCGAACGGAAAGGCCCUGCUUUUGUGGGGUGCUCGAGUGGCGAACGGGUGAGUAACACGUGAGUAACCUGCCCUUGACUUUGGGAUAACUUCAGGAAACUGGGGCUAAUACCGGAUAGGAGCUCCUGCUGCAUGGUGGGGGUUGGAAAGUUUCGGCGGUUGGGGAUGGACUCGCGGCUUAUCAGCUUGUUGGUGGGGUAGUGGCUUACCAAGGCUUUGACGGGUAGCCGGCCUGAGAGGGUGACCGGCCACAUUGGGACUGAGAUACGGCCCAGACUCCUACAGGAGGCAGCAGUGGGGAAUAUUGCACAAUGGGCGGAGGCCUGAUGCAGCAACGCCGCGUGCGGGAUGACGGCCUUCGGGUUGUAAACCGCUUUCGCCUGUGACGAAGCGUGAGUGACGGUAAUGGGUAAAGAAGCACCGGCUAACUACGUG